GAUAAACGCUGACAGAAUGCUUAACACAUGCAAGUCAACUUGAAUUUGGGUUUUUAACUUAGAUUUGGGUGGCGGACGGGUGAGUAACGCGUAAAGAACUUGCCUCACAGCUAGGGACAACAUUUAGAAAUGAAUGCUAAUACCUGAUAUUAUGAUUUUAAGGCAUCUUAGAAUUAUGAAAGCUAUACGCACUGUGAGAGAGCUUUGCGUCCCAUUAGUUAGUUGGAGAGGUAACAGCUCACCAAGGCGAUGAUGGGUAGCCGGCCUGAGAGGGUGAACGGCCACAAGGGGACUGAGACACGGCCCUUACUCCUACGGGAGGCAGCAGUGGGGAAUAUUGGACAAUGGACCGAGAGUCUGAUCCAGCAAUUCUGUGUGCACGAUGAAGUUUUUCGGAAUGUAAAGUGCUUUCAGUUGGGAAGAAAUAAAUGACGGUACCAACAGAAGAAGUGACGGCUAAAUACGUGCCAGCAGCCGCGGUAAUACGUAUGUCACGAGCGUUAUCCGGAUUUAUUGGGCGUAAAGCGCGUCUAGGUGGUUAUGUAAGUCUGAUGUGAAAAUGCAGGGCUCAACUCUGUAUUGCGUUGGAAACUGUAUAACUAGAGUACUGGAGAGGUAAGCGGAACUACAAGUGUAGAGGUGAAAUUCGUAGAUAUUUGUAGGAAUGCCGAUGGGGAAGCCAGCUUACUGGACAGAUACUGACGCUAAAGCGCGAAAGCGUGGGUAGCAAACAGGAUUAGAUACCCUGGUAGUCCAAGGGCGAAUUCCACAGUGGAUAUCAAGCUUAUCGAUACCGUCGACCUCGAGGGGGGGCCCGGUACCUAUAAAUUUGUUCCCUUUAGUAGGGGUUA
rnacentral:rRNA from 1 species